CCUACGGGUGGCAGCAGUGAGGAAUAUUGGUCAAUGGGCGGGAGCCUGAACCAGCCAAGUCGCGUGAGGGAAGACGGUCCUCUGGAUUGUAAACCUCUUUAGGCGGGGAGCAAUGCUGGACACGUGUGACCGGAGGGAGAGUCCCCGCAGACUAAGCAUCGGCUAACUCCGUACCAGCAGCCGCGGUAAUUCGGAGGGUGCGUGCGUUAUCCGGAUUUAUUUGGUUGAAAGGGUGCGUAGGCGGAGUUUUGAGUCAGCGGUAAAAUGUCCGGGCUCAACCCGGGCCGGCCGUUGAAACUGGGGAUCUUGAGUGUGGGAGAAGGAUGCGGAAUGCGUGGUGUAGCGGUGAAAUGCAUAGAGAUCACGAAGAACUCCGAUUGCGAAGGCAGCAUACCGGCGCCCGACUGACGCUGAGGCACGAAAGCGUGGGGAGCGAACAGGAUUAGAUACCCCGGUAGUC
rnacentral:rRNA from 1 species